rnacentral:rRNA from 1 species
CGCAUCUGUGCAUGCAGCAUAUCAAUAAGCGGAGGAAAAGAAACUAACAAGGAUUCCCUUAGUAACGGCGAGUGAAGCGGGAAGCUCAAAUUUGAAAUCUUCAAGGUUUUACCUUGACGAAUUGUAGUUUAAAGAAGUGUUUUCUGCUGAAGUUUUGGUAAAAGUUCUUUGGAAUAGGACAUCAUAGAGGGUGAGAAUCCCGUAUUUGACCAUUAUUUUCAGCUUUGUGAUACACUUUCAAAGAGUCGGAUUGUUUGGGAAUGCAGUCCAAAAUGGGUGGUAAAUUUCAUCUAAAGCUAAAUAUUGGCGAGAGACCGAUAGCGAACAAGUACCGUGAGGGAAAGAUGAAAAGAACUUUGAAAAGAGAGUUAAACAGUACGUGAAAUUGUCAAAAGGGAAGCGUUUGACACCAGUGUUGUUUUCUCGAAAAUCAAUUAAAAAUGGCUCGAUUUUGUAUUGCUGAGACCUUAAAAGCUCACUGUACAUUUUUCGUGUCUUUUUUAAUGCACUUUUCGUUUAACAAGUCAACAUCAGUUUCUUUUGUUGUAAAAGGGUCAUUGGAAGGUGGCUUUCUUUUCGGAGAAAGUGUUUAUAGCCUUUGGCCUCUGCAAUCGGAGAGACUGAGGUCUGCAGCGUAGACUCUUCGGGGUUAGAUACAUUUGUGCUAAGUUAUAGCUUUUUAUAGACAACUUGUUGACUAUAAUUAGUCCUUGUAGCUUACUCGCUUAUGCUAUUUUACCUACGCUUAGGAUGUUGACGCAUGAGAUAUACGC